rnacentral:rRNA from 1 species
AGUGAACGCUGGCGGCAGGCCUAACACACGCAAGUCGAGCAGCAGCGCGGGGCAACCCUGGCGGCGAGCGGCGGACGGGUGAGGAAUACAUCGGAAUCUACCCAGUCGUGGGGGAUAACGUAGGGAAACUUACGCUAAUACCGCAUACGACCUGAGGGUGAAAGCAGGGGACCGCAAGGCCUUGCGCGAUUGGAUGAGCCGAUGUCCGAUUAGCUAGUUGGUGAGGUAAAGGCUCACCAAGGCGACGAUCGGUAGCUGGUCUGAGAGGAUGAUCAGCCACACUGGAACUGAGACACGGUCCAGACUCCUACGGGAGGCAGCAGUGGGGAAUAUUGGACAAUGGGCGCAAGCCUGAUCCAGCCAUGCCGCGUGUGUGAAGAAGGCCUCGGGUUGUAAAGCACUUUUGUUGGGGAAGAAAUCUUCCGACCUAAUACGUCGGGAGGCUGACGGUACCCAAAGAAUAAGCACCGGCUAACUUCGUGCCAGCAGCCGCGGUAAUACGAAGGGUGCAAGCGUUACUCGGAAUUACUGGGCGUAAAGCGUGCGUAGGUGGUUCGUUAAGUCUGCCGUGAAAAGCCCCCGGGCUCAACCUGGGAAUGGCGGUCGGAUACUGGCGACUAGAGUGCGGUAGAGGGUGGUGGAAUUCCAUGGCGUGUAGCAGUGAAAUGCGUAGAGAUCGGGAGGAA